UCUAGUUAUUGACUGGUUGAUGUGCCUGUCCUUGGGUUUUCCCCCACCUCUUGGAGGGGCAGCAGCAUUCAAGGCAGGACAUUGAACCCUAACCAAAGACCACGCCUCCCAGACUGGUUUAGGCUUUUGGUGACAGUACUUUCAUGUCCGGCAGCUCUUGGCAGUGUGGUAUCUGCACCUGCCUCUGCUUGGGGUCUCCACAGGCCCUGAAGGCCAUUGCUUUUCUGCUGGGCAGGAUCAGGAUCUCACACUGGCACUCAGAGCAUUGCAGGAAUGGGGGCAGGCGCAGAGGGCCAGGUGUGCGUUCAUCUGAAAGGUGUGGGGUUUCACAGCAGUCCAGGGGUGAGUCAGGAUUAGUGCUGGCCAUGUGGCUCUAUUGCUGUCCUGAAAAAUUGCAGAGAGUCUUUGAUAGGCAGUAAGUUAGGAACCUGCUUCCAGCUGCUUGGAUGGACGGAGCAAGAUGUGUGCUGCUGUUCAUGGAAGCAGAGGGGGACUGGCUUAGUCUUGAUCCCUCAUGGCAUCUUUCCCUCCCACCACUACUGCUUUGUUUGUGCCGAGACUGUGUUUGAGUCGGCACUGUUCAUCUGAGAGCAAAUCUCCUGGUGGGACUGGAAAAGGCGAUGGGUCUCCAGGUGCCUUUGGCCUUUUGUUGGCAUCCAGAGCCAUCAAAGAGGGCAGCUUGGGUCCCUGGAAGACCCCAAAUGCAAGGGCCUCUGGGGAUGGGAGGAGGUAGCCUUACAGCCUGAGUCAUGCAAGAGGGGAACUGUUACUGGUCUCCACCUAUUCCAGCUAUGUUACAACCCCUGCCUUGCUUGGUCUAGCAGGGGAGACGGCUCAAGCCCAGAGAUACCGCCUAUAAGCAAUGAGUCAGUCAUUGUCCAGAGAGUAUCCAUGGGACAGACAUCAGAAUAUCUUCUUUCCUUGGCAAUCUUCUCAGCAACUGCAUCCUACAGCUGGCCUGGCUGCUUCUCCUCCUGUUUUGUUUGCUUCCUCCUGGCCGUGGAGUGCUGUCGUUGGAAGGGGAAGUGUCGACAGUGCCUCUCAGUCUAUUCUACCUAAAUUUAAACCACUAUUUUUGUCUUUGCAGUCCCAUUGCAUCCUGUAUUAAAUUAGGAAUAAAAAGUCACGUGAGGAAAGCUGUUGUCCAAUGUUUGGUGCCAUGGUGAGACAAGCCAUCGUGUGAUGAAGACCCUGUGCCAGAACAGCCCCAUCCCGCCACUGGUCAUCCUCUCUGCAAGGGACAGGCUUUUGUUUCCUAUGGUGGUUCCCCAAAGGAGCAGGGAGGAGGCACGAGUGGGAUGGGAUGACCUGUUUCUCUUUCCAGUUGAAUGUUUCCAGUCAAGAGGCUCUUUCAGAAGUGUGCUGGUGCACAGAUAACACAUAUGGAUGCAUUUCAGGAAGCGGUUCCCAGAACUGGCUUCACAUUUCUCAUUGGUGUGACCUGGUUCAACAGUUCUCCUUGCAAAAGAAAGAAAAGCAAAGCCAGGGUCAAACAACAGGAACAGGCAUUGAGGAAAUGAUCCCUCGCUGAAAUUAAUGAACUUGCAAGGAUAACAUGCUAUUCAGUGUGAGUCAGAGCUUUUCCUUUUGUGGUGCUGAGGGGAGCAUGAGGGUGUGGGGUUUCUGGUGUCUCUUCGGCAUCAUGGAGGAAGGUGUCUGGGCCAAAUGGGAUGAGGGCUUCAGUGGUUCCUCACCGAAAGAAGGACAGCACUCAGGAAGGGAUGGCUUGACAGCCCUCACUGACAUCGUCCCAAAGGCUGUUUGCAGAGGGCUCAACAGCUGGCCCCAAAAAGCGCAUUGGUGUCCAUGCAGAUUUCCACCGUUCUUACCAUCGAUCAACCCUGCCAGAUGAAACUACUUCUCCUUAACACCAGCUCCACAAGGAGAUCUGAAGAAAGAAGGGAACUCCAGAAGGACUGUGCAAUUCUAAAUGCUGACCAAGCCCCCCUAGUGCAGGUGUUGGCCUCUGCCGUCCCACCUAUACAGCGGUGCUGUGUGGUCCUUCAGGGUGAAGUUAAGCAGCCAUGGCAGAGGCAUACCUGGCUGAGAAGUCAGUCAGUCAUCUGAUGGGAUGGCUCUGAAGCAAGCACCAGUGAAGUGUGAAGGUACGCUGCGAGUAUCAUCAGAAUUGACAGCUCUUCACCAGAUGUGUUUAUUUCUUGAUGCUCUGCUGUCUUGUUUGUAUGUCAGUCAAUGAUGGUUACUUUUCUCAGAGCAGCUGUAAAUAGUCAGGUUUCUCUGCUGAUGUUAAAUCUAAGCUGGCCUGGUAGUGCUGAAACCCAUGAGGUAGAGGACUGUGUUGGCUGGACUUGGUCCAAGGACGUGGUGGGUGAGUCACUCCCUUCACCAGCCCUGCCAUAGCAGAGGCAGGGAGCAAAAACAUUUUCUCCAUCAGGCUGUUCUCAGAGGGAUGUCAGAGCAUGACCGCACUCAACCGCAACUGGCGUGGUUUUCAGGGAAGACCCAGGGCAGCUUCUUCUUGGGGUACCGAGAACUUCAGAUGCUGGCCAAAACCUCAGUCAUGUAGUUAGAAAAGGAAAAUGAAAGCGGGGAAAAGAAACCCUGCUGUGUCUUAAAUCUCUAGUUCUUCCUGACUGCACUGGGGACAGCAGUAUGCCAAGGCUUGGGUCCACCAUGCCUGGAAACCUCAGCUCUGAUCCUCUCUCCAUGGAGUCACACCACACUGAGGACUGUAUUGUGCCAUCGAUGUGCACUUGGAGCAUCCAGAUUGAGAGACGUGGUCGCUAAAGGGAGGAAGGUGCUGGCGGUGUGAACAGGCUGGUUUUGAACCUGUCACAAAUAGACCCCAGGCGUCUCCCCAGCUUGGGAACCCCUUGGUUUGUCCUCACAAAAUAAAGGAGAACAGGAAAGAAAGGAUCCUGUUUCCAACCUGUUUGACUGUGAAAACUUUUUUGUCUCUUGUGCUUUAUUUUUUUUAAAUACAUUUUGUUUCAACCCCCAAACUUUUCACAUUCAUUUAGAAUGUGGAAAAAAAAAAAAGAAGUUUCAGAGUCAUCAGCCCAUUUUUGAAAGGAAACAGCAGCAGAUUACUUUGCUCUGAAAUGAUUGUUUAGGAAUGUGAGCUAAUCCCAUAGUACUAAAAAAGCCAUGAUCUAAAGGAAAUGUUUUGAAAUUGUGAAAGGGAAAUGUUGCAGCCAACCUGAGAUUGAAACUUUCCUCUGUUGAUGAAGCUUUUCAAGAACAGGGCUUUUUGUCUGCAUUUGAGAUGGGAGUGGUUUGAGGUUUCUCAAGCUCUCAAGCUUCUCCAAACAGAAAGUUUCCAGCACGUUUUGUAUGAUGGACGUCGCAGCUUUCCAUCCUGUCCUGGGUGAUGCCUGGGUCUUCUUCUCGGCCUGCAGCCUGAGAUGGAGCUAGAGCUGCCAGC